GCAGGCGGAAACCCGCCCUCUCUUCCGAUGCGGGUUGCAAUGGCUGGAAGUCAUGGUUUCCUCGCUGUGGUUGCAGCAAGGCCAGCGACCUCGGGCCUUUGUCGAGGGAAGGCUGCGGAGGCCUUUCUUUGGCAUCUGCAGAGACGGUGAGCAGCAGACCUGCAGGUUGAAGCUUAGAAGUAACGAAUGGAAAUCUGAAAUAGAUGUAGGCUGUGGGCUUUGAAAAAAAGUCACAUGAAAACCAUCAUCCAGAGAUGUAAGGAUCCGUGUGAUGAGAUUUCUAUAAAUGGUACAGCUUCAGUUUGAGGCCGAAAAGGAUACUCCAGAAAAACACACUGGCUGCAGUGCUGUGGCGGCUGCCCUGGACCUGACGUGGAAUUUCUCUCGUGUCUGCAGCGUGUGAAACAGAACUGACCUGCUUUACCUAAAGCAAGUGAAACCGUUCGUCUCCCAUUGUUUGUAAUCUCUGCCGCACGUGAACCCCGGCCCUUGGCAGUGAGAGUGCCGAGUCCUAACCAUUGGAUCACCAGGGGAUUCCCCGAACCUGUAUGUUUGACUUCAGAGGGCGUCUGAAUAUAAAUGCUCCCAGCACUUGGUGGGUGCUCUUUACUGGACCCUUGCCAGAUUCUAUUCUCUCAGAUCACCGUCUCCUGGAAAGAGGCAUUUGGGACCCACUAGCCUGCACUGUAUCAAUCUGGUUGUGCCUUCCACACACACAAACACACAGGCAAAAUGAUAGAUUGUUUAGAAUGAGUUCCUUCAGGAUUGCCUCUUGUAAAUUAAGGUAUAACAAAGAACAUUUGCAGUACCACACACAGAGUUGAGGUGAUCUUGGUGCAGUGGGGGGACCGCAGAGAUUAUACAAUGAAACUUACAUGUACACGCUCUGUUGAAGACUAAGGGGAAACAGGUGUUCAGCCUAAAAAAACCUUUCUCAGUGGAUUUCUACAGUGUGUCUUGGGUUUAACUUUAAAGCAAAUUAAAACAUUUAAAAGUUGA